GUCCACGCCGUAAACGUUGGGCACUAGGUGUGGGACUCUAUCGACGGGUUCCGUGCCGUAGCUAACGCAUUAAGUGCCCCGCCUGGGGAGUACGGCCGCAAGGCUAAAACUCAAAGGAAUUGACGGGGGCCCGCACAAGCGGCGGAGCAUGUGGCUUAAUUCGAUGCAACGCGAAGAACCUUACCUGGGUUGAACUAUGCAGGAAAAGCCGUAGAGAUACGGUGUCCUUCGGGGCCUGUGAUAGGUGGUGCAUGGCUGUCGU
rnacentral:rRNA from 1 species